CCUACGGGUGGCAACAGUGAGGAAUAUUGGUCAAUGGGCGCGAGCCUGAACCAGCCAAGUAGCGUGAAGGAUGACUGCCCUACGGGUUGUAAACUUCUUUUAUAAAGGAAUAAAGUGAGGCACGUGUGCCUUUUUGUAUGUACUUUAUGAAUAAGGAUCGGCUAACUCCGUGCCAGCAGCCGCGGUCAUACGUAGGAUCCGAGCAUUAUCCGGAGUGACUGGGUGUAAAGAGUGCCGUAGGUGGCAUAAUAAGUAGCUAGUGAAAUCUGGUGGCUUAACCAUUCAGACUAUUAGCUAAACUGUUAGGCUUGAGUACGUUAGAGGUAAGUGGAAUUUGUGGUGUAGGAGUGAAAUGCGUAGAUAUUAGGAAGAACACCAAUAGCGUAGGCAGGUUGCUGGGACGGUACUGACACUGAGGCACGAAAGCGUAGGGAGCAAACAGGAUUAGAUACCCGUGUAGUC
rnacentral:rRNA from 1 species